AUAUCAGAGCUGGGUAGUUGUGUGUUUAUGUGGUGAUGUAGAAUGGAU
rnacentral:guide_RNA from 1 species